rnacentral:rRNA from 1 species
UACGUAGGGGGCAAGCGUUGUCCGGAAUCAUUGGGCGUAAAGCGCGUGUAGGCGGUCCGGUAAGUCCGCUGUGAAAGUCGGGGGCUCAACCCUCGGAUGCCGGUGGAUACUGUCGGGCUUGAGUACGGAAGAGGCGAGUGGAGUUCCUGGUGUAGCGGUGAAAUGCGCAGAUAUCAGGAGGAACACCAAUUGCGAAGGCAGCUCGCUGGGACGUUACUGACGCUGAGACGCGAAAGCGUGGGGAGCAAACAGG